rnacentral:rRNA from 1 species
UACAGAGGUCCCAAGCGUUGUUCGGAUUCAUUGGGCGUAAAGGGUGCGUAGGCGGCGCGGUAAGUCGGGUGUGAAAUCUCGGAGCUUAACUCCGAAACUGCAUUCGAUACUGCCGUGCUUGAGGACUGGAGAGGAGACUGGAAUUUACGGUGUAGCGGUGAAAUGCGUAGAUAUCGUAAGGAAGACCAGUGGCGAAGGCGAGUCUCUGGGAUGAUGCUGACGCUGAGGCGCGAAAGCCAGGGGAGCAAACGGG